UGGGGAAUCUUGCGCAAUGGGCGAAAGCCUGACGCAGCCAUGCCGCGUGAGUGAUGAAGGCCUUAGGGUUGUAAAACUCUUUCACCGGGGACGAUAAUGACGGUACCCGGAGAAGAAGCCCCGGCUAACUUCGUGCCAGCAGCCGCGGUAAUACGAAGGGGGCUAGCGUUGCUCGGAAUUACUGGGCGUAAAGGGCGCGUAGGCGGAUCAGCAAGUUGGGGGUGAAAGCCCGGGGCUCAACCUCGGAAUUGCCUUCAAAACUGCUGAUCUAGAGUACGGGAGAGGUGUGUGGAACUCCGAGUGUAGAGGUGAAAUUCGUAGAUAUUCGGAAGAACACCAGUGGCGAAGGCGACACACUGGCCCGUUACUGACGCUGAGGCGCGAAAGCGUGGGGAGCAAACAGGAUUAGAUACCCUGGUAGUCCACGCUGUAAACGAUGAUUGCUAGUUGUCGGCAGGCAUGCCUGUCGGUGACGCAGCUAACGCAUUAAGCAAUCCGCCUGGGGAGUACGGUCGCAAGAUUAAAACUCAAUGAAUU
rnacentral:rRNA from 1 species